rnacentral:rRNA from 1 species
UGACCUCUGACCUCAAAUCAGGUAGGACUACCCGCUGAACUUAAGCAUAUCAAUAAGCGGAGG